UACGGAGGGUGCAAGCGUUGUCCGGAUUUAUUGGGUUUAAAGGGCGCGUAGGCGGGUGCUCAAGUCUGUGGUGAAAUCCUCCGGCUCAACCGGAGAACUGCCAUGGAUACUGGGUGUCUCGAGGGUGGUAGGGGUAUGCGGAACUAUCGGUGGAGCGGUGAAAUGCGUUGAUAUCGAUAGGAACUCCGGUGGCGAAGGCGGCAUACUGGACCACAUCUGACGCUGAGGCGCGAAAGCCAGGGGAGCGAACGGG
rnacentral:rRNA from 1 species